rnacentral:rRNA from 1 species
GACGAACGCUGGCGGCGUGCUUAACACAUGCAAGUCGAACGGAAAGGCCCUGCUUUUGUGGGGUGCUCGAGUGGCGAACGGGUGAGUAACACGUGAGUAACCUGCCCUUGACUUUGGGAUAACUUCAGGAAACUGGGGCUAAUACCGGAUAGGAGCUCCUGCUGCAUGGUGGGGGUUGGAAAGUUUCGGCGGUUGGGGAUGGACUCGCGGCUUAUCAGCUUGUUGGUGGGGUAGUGGCUUACCAAGGCUUUGACGGGUAGCCGGCCUGAGAGGGUGACCGGCCACAUUGGGACUGAGAUACGGCCCAGACUCCUACGGGAGGCAGCAGUGGGAAAUAUUGCACAAUGGGCGGAAGCCUGAUGCGGCAACGCCGCGAGCGGGAUGACGGCCUUCGGGUUGUAAACCGCUUUCGCCUGUGACGAAGCGUGAGUGACGGUAAUAGGUAAAGAAGCACCGGCUAACUACGUG